ACCCGGGCCGCACGCUUUGCCAGGCGAGCGCGCUACCGCUUGAGCCACAUCCCCAGCCCUAGAGCUAGUGUUUUUGAGAAAUCAGCAUGACUUUUAUUUUUCUCUUUUCUGUACUGGGGAUGAACCCAAGGCCCUUGCAUGCUAGGCAAGCACUCUUCCACUGAGCUAUACCCCAAUCCCAUAAAUAGCUUAAGUUUCAGCUUCGUGAUUAUGAACACUUGGCCUUGGGAUAUAGCCACACUGGCCUCCAGUUUAUUUUUGUUUUUUACAGUAAUCAUUACAAGACCUGGGACUUGAUGGGAUGGUUACAAGUUUUAUGGUCAUCCAAGGAACCAGAUUCCUUCACCUUUGUGCUCCUGCAUCUCCCAGGGGCUGUCCUCAGAUACAUUUGUCUCCUGUCCAAGUUUCAACCAGCAGAAAGGAGGAGGAGAAAGUCUGGGAAGUUUUCCGCCUGCUUAUCCUGCCCCAGGCAUCGAGGGGUUCUGGGAGAUAUCUGCAGGCAGCAUUUCCUGUCCUAAUUGGAUGAGUUGACCUUUCCAACCGAGGACUCACGGCAGAGGAGAGGAAGAACUGGAAGUGGGUGUGGAUCUAACCAGCGCUGUCCGUGGGCGCCCCGCAGGUAUGAGGGCAGGUCACGCACAACAGAGGCCAUUUGUUAAUUUCAGGAAGUUUGCUGCCAGAAAAAGGCAGAGGGUGUUGCCAAAAUUGCUGCUGUCUGUCCUCCCUCCCUCUGUCCCUCGCUCCCUCCCUCCUCCCUUCCUUCUUUUCUUGAGGGAGGGUCUUGCUAAGUUGCCCAGUUUGGCCUUCAACUUGCGAUCCUCCUGCCUCGGGCUCCCGAGGAGCUGGGGUUAGAGGUGUGUGUCAUUGCACCCAGCAGCUGCUAAAUUUAAAUUUUGAAAACAGGUUCCCCCCCCAGUGGGGAAGGGUCAGAAUCCUGCUCCGGUUCCUACUAUAAUCUUUUUGACCCGCGGAGGGUAAUAUUUCCAAAUUCCUUCUCUGCCCCUCUUCAAAUUAUGCAGAUAGAAAGGAAUGAAGGAAUUUUAAAAUGUGAGAAUGGAUGGCAAAGACCUCCCCACGCAGUCUUCCAAGUGGGGACACUGAGCUCGUUGGUGGUGACGUGUGGGCAUCCAUGUGCAUCAUGCUAGGAGGGGUCUUUAGCUGGAGCCCCUUCAAAUGAUAUUCAUUCUGUAAUAGAUGGUUUUUCCUGUCAAGCAGGUGGGACCAGCAGAGUGCUGCCUGUGGGCGAUGGCUCUUCACCAGGUCCUGGGAUUCUUGGAUAGUGAAUUAUGUGAGUUAGGGCUGGGCAAAAUGACCCACAAUGUCUAUAGGAUUUCCCCGAGAAUCCCGUCUUUUUCCAGAUAUUAUGCUAGGCAGUCAGUGUGAGGUUGUGUUCAGUGGCUAUAACAAACUGAAACUUCAGUGACUUCAGCCAACACAAGUUUACUUCUCCUUCCAGUAAGGCCGGUCAGCCGGGCUCACUUCCACACCAGGGACUGGAAGUCCAGUCUUCCUCCAUUUUGGAACAGCACCCCCUUUGGUGGCUUUCAGAGCCCCCUCCAGAGGGGAAGAGGAGGAUGGAGGGGAGCACCAGCUCCUAACUGCCUCAGCCUGGUAGUGAUAAUCCAUUGGCUAGAACGAGUCACAUGGGUCUGACCCCUCUGAAAUGGAUUGUGGGAAAUGUAGAGGAUUCUGGGAAAUGUAGGCCUGGACCCUGAGAUGCUCAUGAUUUCUAUUGGAAGACAGAGACUUGGCUUUUAGUGCCUCAAAUAUGGCAAGAGAAUUGUGUUUGGCUAUCACCAGUGUCACCUGCGGGGCAGAACAUUUCCCCCUUUGGGAGCCAGUGUCGAGACCUGCCCUGAUCUUGGCUGCAUGGUGGACAUCGUGUCUCCCACAAGGUCCUGUUCAGAUCCUGGAGCCCUGGCUUGCAGGCAGGGGGGUGGACGCAGUGAGAGCUGAUCAGUCAGCACAGACCUUAAAGCAACUGAGGUUCAUUCCUCCCCUGUCCCAGCUGUUCCAGUUACUGCUGCUGAGCACCAGAAUGUUCCAAAACGCAGCGGCUUGGAACAAGGGUCGUGACGAUGG